GACGAACGCUGGCGGCGUGCCUAAUACAUGCAAGUAGAACGCACAGUUUAUACCGUAGCUUGCUACACCAUAAACUGUGAGUUGCGAACGGGUGAGUAACGCGUAGGUAACCUGCCUGGUAGCGGGGGAUAACUAUUGGAAACGAUAGCUAAUACCGCGUAAUAUUGAUUAUUGCAUGAUAAUUGAUUGAAAGAUGCUAUUGCAUCACUACCAGAUGGACCUGCGUUGUAUUAGCUAGUAGGUGAGGUAACGGCUCACCUAGGCGACGAUACAUAGCCGACCUGAGAGGGUGAUCGGCCACACUGGGACUGAGACACGGCCCAGACUCCUACGGGAGGCAGCAGUAGGGAAUCUUCGGCAAUGGACGAAAGUCUGACCGAGCAACGCCGCGUGAGUGAAGAAGGUUUUCGGAUCGUAAAGCUCUGUUGUAAGAGAAGAACGGGUGUGAGAGUGGAAAGUUCACACUGUGACGGUAGCUUACCAGAAAGGGACGGCUAACUACGUG
rnacentral:rRNA from 1 species